UCCGGUUUGUCACCGGCAGUCUCCUUAGAGUUCCCGCCAUUACGCGCUGGCAACUAAGGACAAGGGUUGCGCUCGUUACGGGACUUAACCCAACAUCUCACGACACGAGCUGACGACAGCCAUGCAGCACCUGUCACUUGGCUCCCGAAGGCACCAAAGCAUCUCUGCUAAGUUCCAAGGAUGUCAAGGCCUGGUAAGGUGGGGAUGACGUAGAACGGUUGGUU
rnacentral:misc_RNA from 1 species